UACGAACUGUGCGAACGUUAUUCGGAAUCACUGGGCUUAAAGGGUGCGUAGGCGGCUAUAAAGGUCAGGUGUGAAAUCCCACGGCUCAACCGUGGAACUGCGCUUGAAACCGUAUAGCUUGAGGGAGUCAGAGGUAAGCGGAACUGAUGGUGGAGCGGUGAAAUGCGUUGAUAUUAUCAGGAACACCGGUGGCGAAAGCGGCUUACUGGGACUUUUCUGACGCUGAGGCACGAAAGCCAGGGGAGCAAACGGG
rnacentral:rRNA from 1 species